rnacentral:rRNA from 1 species
GACGAACGCUGGCGGCGUGCUUAACACAUGCAAGUCGAACGGAAAGGCCCUGCUUUUGUGGGGUGCUCGAGUGGCGAACGGGUGAGUAACACGUGAGUAACCUGCCCUUGACUUUGGGAUAACUUCAGGAAACUGGGGCUAAUACCGGAUAGGAGCUCCUGCUGCAUGGUGGGGGUUGGAAAGUUUCGGCGGUUGGGGAUGGACUCGCGGCUUAUCAGCUUGUUGGUGGGGUAGUGGCUUACCAAGGCUUUGACGGGUAGCCGGCCUGAGGGGGUGACCGGCCACAUUGGGACUGAGAUACGGCCCAGACCCCUACGGGAGGCAGCAGUGGGGAAUAUUGCACAAUGGGCGGAAGCCUGAUGCAGCAACGCCGCGUGCGGGAUGACGGCCUUCGGGUUGUAAACCGCUUUCGCCUGUGACGAAGCGUGAGUGACGGUAAUGGGUAAAGAAGCACCGGCUAACUACGUG